UACGUAGGGCGCAAGCGUUGUUCGGAAUUACUGGGCGUAAAGAGUACGUAGGCGGUUUGGUAAGUCUGAUAUUAAAGACCGGAGCUCAACUUCGGGACUGUAUCGGAAACUGUCAGACUAGAGGACAAUAGAGGAAGUCGGAAUUCUCAGUGUAGCGGUGAAAUGCGUAGAGAUCAAGAGGAACACUCGUGGCGAAAAGCGAGCUACUGGACAUUUACUGACGCUGAGGCUCGAAGGCCAGGGUAGCGAAAAGGG
rnacentral:rRNA from 1 species